AUUGAACGCUGGCGGCAGGCCUAACACAUGCAAGUCGAACGAGUGGCGAACGGGUGAGUAAUAUAUCGGAACGUACCGAGUAAUGGGGGAUAACUAAUCGAAAGAUUAGCUAAUACCGCAUAUUAUUCGAGCGGCCGAUAUCUGAUUAGCUAGGUGGUGGGGUAAAGGCCUACCAAGGCGACGAUCAGUAGCGGGUCUGAGAGGAUGAUACGCCAAAUGGGUACUUAGACACGGCCCAGACUCCUACGGGAGGCAGCAGUGGGGAAUAUUGCGCAAUGGGGGCAACCCUGACGCAGCCAUGCCGCGUGAAUGAAGAAGGCCUUCGGGUUGUAAAGUUCUUUCGGUAGCGAGGCGUUAACUGCAGAAGAAGCACCGGCUAACUCCGUGCCAGCCGCCGCGGUAAUUC
rnacentral:rRNA from 1 species